rnacentral:snoRNA from 2 species
CUUUCUCAGAUGAUGAAAUAUUUUGGAUGUAAAUCAAACACUACCGAUGGCGCAAAACCAUGUGGAAACUUUCCUUGUUGCCUUCCUUCUGAUCCAUGAGA